UUUAUGGAGAGUUUGAUCCUGGCUCAGGAUGAACGCUGGCGGCGUGCCUAAUACAUGCAAGUCGAGCGAACGGACGAGAAGCUUGCUUCUCUGAUGUUAGCGGCGGACGGGUGAGUAACACGUGGAUAACCUACCUAUAAGACUGGGAUAACUUCGGGAAACCGGAGCUAAUACCGGAUAAUAUUUUGAACCGCAUGGUUCAAAAGUAAAAGACGGUCUUGCUGUCACUUAUAGAUGGAUCCGCGCUGCAUUAGCUAGUUGGUAAGGUAACGGCUUACCAAGGCAACGAUGCAUAGCCGACCUGAGAGGGUGAUCGGCCACACUGGAACUGAGACACGGUCCAGACUCCUACGGGAGGCAGCAGUAGGGAAUCUUCCGCAAUGGGCGAAAGCCUGACGGAGCAACGCCGCGUGAGUGAUGAAGGUCUUCGGAUCGUAAAACUCUGUUAUUAGGGAAGAACAUAUGUGUAAGUAACUGUGCACAUCUUGACGGUACCUAAUCAGAAAGCCACGGCUAACUACGUGCCAGCAGCCGCGGUAAUACGUAGGUGGCAAGCGUUAUCCGGAAUUAUUGGGCGUAAAGCGCGCGUAGGCGGUUUUUUAAGUCUGAUGUGAAAGCCCACGGCUCAACCGUGGAGGGUCAUUGGAAACUGGAAAACUUGAGUGCAGAAGAGGAAAGUGGAAUUCCAUGUGUAGCGGUGAAAUGCGCAGAGAUAUGGAGGAACACCAGUGGCGAAGGCGACUUUCUGGUCUGUAACUGACGCUGAUGUGCGAAAGCGUGGGGAUCAAACAGGAUUAGAUACCCUGGUAGUCCACGCCGUAAACGAUGAGUGCUAAGUGUUAGGGGGUUUCCGCCCCUUAGUGCUGCAGCUAACGCAUUAAGCACUCCGCCUGGGGAGUACGACCGCAAGGUUGAAACUCAAAGGAAUUGACGGGGACCCGCACAAGCGGUGGAGCAUGUGGUUUAAUUCGAAGCAACGCGAAGAACCUUACCAAAUCUUGACAUUCUUUGACAACUCUAGAGAUAGAGCCUUCCCCUUCGGGGGACAAAGUGACAGGUGGUGCAUGGUUGUCGUCAGCUCGUGUCGUGAGAUGUUGGGUUAAGUCCCGCAACGAGCGCAACCCUUAAGCUUAGUUGCCAUCAUUAAGUUGGGCACUCUAAGUUGACUGCCGGUGACAAACCGGAGGAAGGUGGGGAUGACGUCAAAUCAUCAUGCCCCUUAUGAUUUGGGCUACACACGUGCUACAAUGGACAAUACAAAGGGCAGCGAAACCGCGAGGUCAAGCAAAUCCCAUAAAGUUGUUCUCAGUUCGGAUUGUAGUCUGCAACUCGACUACAUGAAGCUGGAAUCGCUAGUAAUCGUAGAUCAGCAUGCUACGGUGAAUACGUUCCCGGGUCUUGUACACACCGCCCGUCACACCACGAGAGUUUGUAACACCCGAAGCCGGUGGAGUAACCUUUUAGGAGCUAGCCGUCGAAGGUGGGACAAAUGAUUGGGGUGAAGUCGUAACAAGGUAGCCGUAUCGGAAGGUGCGGCUGGAUCACCUCCUUUCU
rnacentral:rRNA from 1 species